GGAAUAUUGGUCAAUGGGCGAGAGCCUGAACCAGCCAAGUAGCGUGCAGGAUGACGGCCCUACGGGUUGUAAACAGCUUUUAUGCGGGGAUAAAGUGCGGCACGUGUGCCGUUUUGCAGGUACCGCAUGAAUAAGGACCGGCUAAUUACGUGCCAGCAGCCGCGGUAAUACGGAAGGUCCGGGCGUUAUCCGGAUUUAUUGGGUUUAAAGGGAGCGCAGGCUGGAGAUUAAGCGUGACGUGAAAUGCCGCGGCUCAACCGUGGAAGUGCGUCGCGAACUGGUUUCCUUGAGUGAGUACGACGUCAGCGGAAUUCGUGGUGUAGCGGUGAAAUGCUUAGAUAUCACGAAGAACCCCGAUUGCGAAGGCAGCUGACGAGUCCUUUACUGACGCUAAAGCUCGAAGGUGCGGGUAUCGAACA
rnacentral:rRNA from 1 species